rnacentral:snRNA from 8 species
AUACAUACCUGUCAAGGAGGACACCGUGAUCAAGAAGGCGGUUCACCCAGGGCGAGGCUUAGCCAUUGCACUCCGGGCUCUGCUGAC